AAUAGGACAUGUAAUAAAUAUUCCAUGAUUUAUUCAUUUGGGAUGCAGGUGUCCUCCCAACUUCUGAAGAGUUGAAACUUUAUUCUGAUACUGCUAAUUCUGAGGAUGCGGAUACCAAAGAUUUUAGAGGUGAUUUUUGACAGAUGUGAUUCUGAGCAAGUGGAAACCUUAUACUGUACAUUCUCUUAGCCGCUAAAAUCUUAUCGUUUGUUUAUCUCUUAAUCAAUUUUUAGAUUGAAGCGACCUUUCCAAGGGCAGGGCAGUUCAUGAAAGCGUGGAGCUCUCGAGCAUGUGAUUAUUGAAGCUAGUAGUCACUAGCUUGUAAUCAUGGCAUUGG
rnacentral:lncRNA from 1 species